UGUGCUUUGGAAUGUAUACACAUUUUAGCCAUAUGAUCACGUUUUGAAAGUUUCAUUAAGAUUGUAUGUCUACAAAACAUAUGGAUUACGCCGAUAUGGCAAAUGUUUCUAUGAGUAUAGCGUUCCACCCAACUACCUUAAAAAGGCAAAUUAUAAAAGCGACAAAGGUGAAAAUGACGAGCUGGUGGUCAUAGAUGAGAUAUUAUCAGAAUUAAAUUAAUAAAGUUGACUUUUUAUGAAAAAAAAAACAGCAUUGUUUUCUUUUUUGCUACUUUUUCAGCUAUUUUAGAAGAAAGUUGGCUACUUCUAGCUACUUUCAGCCUUCGGUUUUGCUACUUUUGCUGAAAAAGUUUCGGCAACACUGUUGUGGAAGUGAAGAGCACGUGCGAACUCAGCAAACUCCGCAAAAGCAAUCGUAAAAAAAAAAACUCUCAGCGAAUAACCAAAACUUUCACAAAGCUCAAGCAAGUGCAUACACCAAAGGUUUAAAACCAAAAUAUAUAUCAAGUGCACUCACCAAAGGUUCGACACCACACUAACUAUCAAGUACAUAAACCAGAGGUUCAAAACCAGAAUAAUUAUCAAAGGCACACACCAAAGGUGCGGCACUAAGCUAACUAUCAAGUGCAUACACCAACGGUGCGAAACUAAAAAUCAAAAGCAAAUUUCCGCACCAAAGUGCGAAAGCAAAAACUCAUUCUGUCACAGCACCGGACCGGUGUUGGCAGCGUUUGUCACGUAAUCGGACCGAUUACGGCAGCGUAGCAAAUUAAAGCAAGCAAUCCACUCAGAAGACUACGACGACGUCAGCAGAGAGCCGGAAACACCAGGAACAGUCAAGCGCCCCUUCAAAUAAACAUGUAAGUGGCGUGCUCAGUUAAU